rnacentral:rRNA from 1 species
AACGAACGCUGGCGGCAGGCCUAACACAUGCAAGUCGAGCGCGCCCUUCGGGUAGAGCGGCGGACGGGUGAGUAACGCGUGGGAACGUGCCCUUUUCUACGGUAUAGCCUCGGGAAACUGAGAGUAAUACCGUAUAAGCCCUUUGGGGGAAUGAUUACUUGGAAAACGAUCGGCGCGCGUUAGAUUAGGUAGUUGGUGGGGUAAUGGUCUACCCAGCCGACGUUCCAUAGCUGGUAUGAGAGGGUGACCAGCCACACUGGGACUGAGACCCGGCCCAGACGCCUACGGGAGGCAGCAGUGGGGAAUCUUAGACGAUGGGGGCAACCCUGAUCUAGCCAUGCCGCGUGAGUGAUGAAGGCCUUAGGGUUGUAAAGCACUUUCAGCUGGGAAGAUAAUGACGGUACCAGCAGAAGAAGCCCCGGCUAACUCCGUG